CAGCAGCCGCGGGAAUACAGAGGGUGCAAGCGUUAAUCGGAAUUACUGGGCGUAAAGUGCGCGUAGGUGGUUUGUUAAGUUGGAUGUGAAAGCCCCGGGCUCAACCUGGGAACUGCAUCCAAAACUGGCAAUCUAGAGUACGGUAGAGGGUGGUGGAAUUUCCUGUGUAGCGGUGAAAUGCGUAGAUAUAGGAAGGAACACCAGUGGCGAAGGCGACCACCUGGACUGAUACUGACACUGAGGUGCGAAAGCGUGGGGAGCAAACAGGAUUAGAUACCCGCGUAGUCCCUGUCUCUUAUAC
rnacentral:rRNA from 1 species